GACGAACGCUGGCGGCAUGCCUAAUACAUGCAAGUCGAGCGAACAGAUGAAGUGCUUGCACUUCUGACGUUAGCGGCGAACGGGUGAGUAACACGUAAGGAAUCUACCUAUAAGCGGGGGAUAACAUUCGGAAACGGGUGCUAAUACCGCAUAAUAUCUUCUUCCGCAUGGAAGAAGAUUGAAAGACGGCUCUGCUGUCACUUAUAGAUGACCUUGCGGUGCAUUAGUUAGUUGGUGGGGUAACGGCCUACCAAGACGAUGAUGCAUAGCCGACCUGAGAGGGUGAUCGGCCACAUUGGGACUGAGACACGGCCCAAACUCCUACGGGAGGCAGCAGUAGGGAAUCUUCCGCAAUGGGCGAAAGCCUGACGGAGCAAUGCCGCGUGAGUGGAGAAGGCCUUCGGGUCGUAAAACUCUGUUAUAAGAGAAGAACAAAUUGUAGAGUAACUGCUACAGUCUUGACGGUAUCUUAUCAGAAAGCCACGGCUAACUACGUG
rnacentral:rRNA from 1 species